rnacentral:rRNA from 1 species
UACGAAGGGGGCUAGCGUUGUUCGGAAUCACUGGGCGUAAAGGGCGCGUAGGCGGCUUUGUAAGUCGGUUGUGAAAGCCUGUGGCUCAACCGCAGAAUUGCCUUCGAUACUGCAUGGCUUGAGACCGGAAGAGGUAAGUGGAACUGCGAGUGUAGAGGUGAAAUUCGUAGAUAUUCGCAAGAACGCCAGUGGCGAAGGCGGCUUACUGGUCCGGUUCUGACGCUGAGGCGCGAAAGCGUGGGGAGCAAACAGG